rnacentral:rRNA from 1 species
UGAGGAAUAUUGGGCAAUGCCCGCAAGGGUGACCCAGCAACGCCGCGUGGAGGAUGAAGGUCGUAAGAUUGUAAACUCCUGUUAGAGGGGAAGAAUACCCGGGAUUGAAUCCCGGUUUGACUGUACCCUCAGAGAAAGCCCCGGCUAACUACGUGCCAGCAGCCGCGGUAAUACGUAGGGGGCAAGCGUUGUCCGGAUUUACUGGGUGUAAAGGGCGCGUAGGCGGGCUCGUAAGUCAGAGGUGAAAUCCUGCAGCUUAACUGCAGAACUGCCUUUGAUACUGCGAGUCUUGAGUUCAGAAGAGAGAGAUGGAAUUCCAGGUGUAGUGGUGAAAUACGUAGAUAUCUGGAAGAACACCAGUUGCGAAGGCGAUCUCUUGGUCUGACACUGACGCUGAGGC